UUUCCGUAGGUGAACCUGCGGAAGGAUCAUUAUCCAUCUCAAACCUGGUGCGGUCGCGGCCCCCGGGGGCUUGCUCCCGGGUGGUAGGGGUAACACCCUCACGCGCCGCCUGCCUGUACCCUCUUUUUACGAGCACCUUUCGUUCUCCUUCGGCGGGGCAACCUGCCGCUGGAACCAAAACAAAACCUUUUUUGCAUCUAGCAUUACCUGUUCUGAUACAAGUAAUCGUUACAACUUUCAACAAUGGAUCUCUUGGCUCUG
rnacentral:misc_RNA from 1 species